AUUGAACGCUGGCGGAAUGCUUUACAUAUGCAAGUCGAACGGCAGCACGGACUUCGGUCUGGUGGCGAGUGGCGAACGGGUGAGUAAUGUAUCGGAACGUGCCCAGUCGUGGGGGAUAACGUAGUGAAAAUUACGCUAAUACCGCAUACGAUCUAUGGAUGAAAGCGGGGGAUCGCAAGACCUCGCGCGAUUGGAGCGGCCGAUAUCAGAUUAGGUAGUUGGUGGGGUAAAGGCCCACCAAGCCAACGAUCUGUAGCUGGUCUGAGAGGACGACCAGCCACACUGGAACUGAGACACGGUCCAGACUCCUACGGGAGGCAGCAGUGGGGAAUUUUGGACAAUGGGCGAAAGCCUGAUCCAGCCAUUCCGCGUGCAGGAUGAAGGCCCUCGGGUUGUAAUCUGCUUUUGUACAGAACGAAAAGGUUUCUACUAAUACUAGGAGCUCAUGACGGUACUGUAAGAAUAAGCACCGGCUAACUACGUGCCAGCCGCCGCGGUAA
rnacentral:rRNA from 1 species